rnacentral:rRNA from 1 species
UACGGAGGGUGCAAGCGUUAUCCGGAUUUACUGGGUUUAAAGGGUGCGUAGGUGGGCAGGUAAGUCAGUGGUGAAAUCUUCGAGCUUAACUCGGAAACUGCCAUUGAUACUAUCUGUCUUGAAUUUCCUGGAGGUAAGCGGAAUAUGUCAUGUAGCGGUGAAAUGCUUAGAUAUGACAUAGAACACCAAUUGCGAAGGCAGCUUACUACGGGAAUAUUGACACUGAGGCACGAAAGCGUGGGGAUCAAACAGG